rnacentral:rRNA from 1 species
ACGGAGGGUGCAAGCGUUGUCCGGAUUUAUUGGGUUUAAAGGGUGCGCAGGCGGUGCGUUAAGUCAGUGGUGAAAUCUCUCGGCUCAACCGAGAAACUGCCAUUGAUACUGGCGUACUUGAGUACGGACGAGGUAGGCGGAAUUUAUGGUGUAGCGGUGAAAUGCAUAGAUACCAUAAAGAACACCGAUAGCGAAGGCAGCUUACUAGACCGUAACUGACGCUCAUGCACGAAAGCGUGGGGAGCGAACAGG